rnacentral:tRNA from 6 species
GGCCAGGUAGCUCAGUUGGUAGAGCAGGGGACUGAAAAUCCCCGUGUCGGCAGUUCGAUUCUGUCCCUGGCCACCA